rnacentral:rRNA from 1 species
GAUGAACGCUGGCGGCGUGCCUAAUACAUGCAAGUCGAGCGAACAGACGAGGAGCUUGCUCCUCUGACGUUAGCGGCGGACGGGUGAGUAACACGUGGAUAACCUACCUAUAAGACUGGGAUAACUUCGGGAAACCGGAGCUAAUACCGGAUAAUAUAUUUAACCGCAUGGUUCAAUAGUGAAAGACGGUUUUGCUGUCACUUAUAGAUGUAUCCGCGCCGCAUUAGCUAGUUGGUAAGGUAACGGCUUACCAAGGCAACGAUGCGUAGCCGACCUGAGAGGGUGAUCGGCCACACUGGAACUGAGACACGGUCCAGACUCCUACGGGAGGCAGCAGUAGGGAAUCUUCCGCAAUGGGCGAAAGCCUGACGGAGCAACGCCGCGUGAGUGAUGAAGGUCUUCGGAUCGUAAAACUCUGUUAUUAGGGAAGAACAAAUGUGUAAGUAACUAUGCACGUCUUGACGGUACCUAAUCAGAAAGCCACGGCUAACUACGUG